UCUGCUGAAACUUAUUUGCUUUUUUCUUCAUACUGUACUUGUCCCAGUAGUCAUUUUCCACCCUGUUAGAAUGUGCUUUAUUGCCUUAAAAAAAACUACAAUUCCAUAAAAGCCAUUUAGAGGAAGUGACAUCGUUUGUUUUUGGAGGGAAUUCAACAGUGGAAAAUGAGAAUGGCUUCAUCAAAAAGCCCUCGUAACACCAAUGAGGCUGCCACCAUUAACUGUAAAAGUGAUGUCUUAAAGAAACUCAAAAAGUGACUGAUUGGCAUUUCUCCAAUGGCCAUGCAAGGCCCAAAACUGUACAUAAUAAUAGUAUUGCAGCAGUAAGUGAUGGGACCAAUCUAUUCAGAUUUGCUGUAUUUGAAAGCUUGGCCUCCCAAAUUAAAGAGGGCAAAUCUUGCACCAUAAAAAAUUUUGGAAUGAGCAAAUUUUGAAGCGCAAGGUCGAUGCUUUCCAGUAAAGACACAGCCAUCUAUGUAAGUGCCCACAUCCAGGUCAGUCAGCAGCUGGAGGAUGAGGCAAGGCCACUUCUGGGGCCACCCACCACUUUGGUGUUACUGAACAACAUCAGCCAAUCUCAGAUGGAUUAUGUAACAGUAAAAGGAUGGGUCACAGCUGUAAGUUUGCUCACAUUUAUUUACUACUAACGCAUUUAGAUGUAGCUUAAGGUUUUAAACUUUUCAUAUAGCAAGUUUUAAUUUCAUAGGAUGAAAUGAGAGGUCAAGAUGGCACUCUGGAGAGAGGCUGUGUGCUCACCCCAGUCUGUGUAGGAUCACCAGUUGAAAUAAGUCAUGUCAGAAGAAAAAACUCACUGACUGUGAUUAAGCCUGGAACUGGGGUCCAUGAGGUUAAACCCAAAGGUUACAGAACCAUUGACUCGGAUAACAUACCACAUAUUGUACCAUCAGCUGUGUGACUCAAGGUUUUCCCAGACAGCCCAGAAAUCCUUCCUUCACCGAUUAUGUUGCAUUACAAAAAUGGCACAGUAAUCGAUGCCAGAGGAGUAGCACCCUUUGGUGAUUUCCCAGCACUUCUAUUUAUUUACUUAUUUAUUUAAUGUAUUUCUUUAUUUAUCUGUUUAUCUAUCUUUGAGUAAUCAGUUAAAGAUGAAAAUUAAAUAAGUUAUGAAAAAAAUCAGUUAAUCAGUUCAUUGUUUUUUGGGGUUUUGUUGUUCCUGACUGUUUUAAUAAAUGCUUUUCAAACUUGGUGCGUCUUAUUUAAUAUUAUGAAAAAUGUAUUUACUUAUACUACAAAUGAGUUGAGGGGGCAGCACUAAAUUAAUAAAUUCCAAUUGAAAUGGCUGUGACGUAAUCGGCCUUCAAAUGCGGCCUCCGAAGGAUGCAGCCUAUAAAUUGGGACUUAGCUACUGUUUAUAUUAUGCCAACCAUAGCUGUGUAGCUAGCCACCACGUAUGAUCAUAUUCCAGCUAGCCCAACUUCAAUAAC